UGAUGUCUAGCAACAUAUCAUAACUAUCCAAAAGAUAUAAAAUUUAGUGAAAAUAUCAAAAUUAUCCUUCCAUGGCAAGUUAUCAUGCAAUUCAAUCCUUCGAUCACACAACAUCCCAGAUAGGCCAUGGACAUAGAAUCAUGUCAAGCCCAAAUAUCUAUCAAUAUGUAUCUCGAUUCGAUGAUGAUGACUCGAUUGAUGAAUCAGUAGAAAUACUUUCUAUGAUUCAUCCCUGCUCUGGUCAGAGACUUCCUAAUCAUCAUCCUAUGAGAUCAC
rnacentral:lncRNA from 1 species